AGAAAUUCAACCAAGCGCGGGUA
rnacentral:snRNA from 1 species